AGAAAAUUUAUCGCAAACUAAUACUCUAAAUAUGAUAACCUAUGAUAAGUGGUAAGAAACUAUGAUAAAUUAUUUAAUUUAAAACUCACUAGUCAAAAUAAUUAAAUAACUUAUUAAACCAUAAAGAGCUUCAAGUAAUUAAAAAUUUGCUAAAACUCGACAAAUUGGGUGAGGUCAAGACAACCUGCUGUUAUUCAAGCCCCUAACUUGCUGCCCCACCACCACCUCUCUAAUCUCUAUUAAAGAACACCACAUCAAACAACCCCAUCAACCCUUGCUUGCUAUCAUUCUAUUCUCACACACCCUACUUGCCAGGCACCUACCACAAACCGACAAUACUAGCAGUAGCACACUAACUCCCACUCAUCCACCAAAGCGCAACCACGCACCAAACCAAUAUUCCCUUACAACAACAACAUCCAUGUAGCAGCGGCGCAAAUAACAGCCACACAUCUAGCAGCCUUGCAUUCACAACCCAUUGUUGCACCUGCUCCUUCCUCGCUCCCAUUCCAGCGACCACCCAUAACCAUUGACCCAUUGUCACGGCAACUAAACAACAGCACUAUCUGAUCUUCCCUUUUCAUUCAGAUUAUAUUCUGAUCUUCAUUUUAAGAUAUGUAUUAAUGUAUUAUGAUGAAAAUAAUUAGUGGAGGAGAUCGGUCUUUUGCCUCUGCUAGUUCAUCUUCAACAUCAAGGGGUUGUGGUGGACUGAGAACAAAGUGCACUUGCAGUUCUGAUGCGGUGGUACGAAGUGUGAAAAAUGGGCUGAAUGUUGGUAGGAAGUUUUUCGGUUGUCCAAAAUGGCCGUUGAUGAGCUUCGAUUUCAAAUCUUUGAAAGGGAUACUACAAUGGCUGAGAUGGAGUUUGAGCGUAAUGCGUUGGAGGAAAAGGUGAAGAAACUGGUAAGGAAGAAGGACAAGUUGGAAGAUGAUGUGAAGCAAAUGAAGGCUGAUCUUUAUCAAUUAAGGGUUGAGAUUAUGAUGAGUUUUAUAAAUGAAAGGCACAUGUCAAUGGCACAACUAUUUUCAUGGGUUUUAUUUGGCGUUGUGAUCUUUUACUUAAAAUAGGAUUUUAUAGUACUAUGAUCAGACAAUUGUAUAGUGUAAUCUAUUUCAUAAAAGUCAGUUUGUGGCAUUGAUGAGUUAAAUGAAGCAGCUAUUUGUGUUAAUUUAAGUACUUUUAUGCAAUGAAAUCUUUAAUGUGUGUUAAUUUGUUACAUGCAAGUGAGAAAUUCAAAGUAAAUCCAUCAAAAGAUUGCUGCUUGUCACAAUUAGUUAAAAUGUUAUCUAAGUUACACACAACUUCAAAAUAUCAAACAAAAUGAAAGUCAAAGUUCUGUUCCAAUUCCUAAGUUGACAACACCAAUCACUUGUACAUAGUCACUGAGUUUGCUAAAGCACAGUAGGUGCUUGGCUUGACUGGAUGAGAACAACAGGCUGCUGCAACUGGGUUGAGGCUUGGCCUGCCUCUACCCCUUUGUAGCUGUCACAACUGAACCAUCUGCUUCAAACAAAACCCCACCUCCCUUUGGCAACUGAAAUUCAUAACCAUAUAAGCAUUAGAUAGUAGCAGAAAAAAACAAAAAGGAAAAAAACAUUUACAAAACCAAUGAAAACAACCAAGUGCUGAAAAAUGCAAGAUGAGACAGCAAUACCU